rnacentral:sRNA from 1 species
UUUCUUUGUAUCCCAGGCUGGAUCACCACUUGCUGCCACCUCAAACUCCUGGGCUCAAAGGAUUCUCCCACCUCAGCCUUCCAGGUAGUUGGGACUACAGGCACACGCCACCACACUCAGCUUUUUAUUUUUGGUAGAGAUGGGGGGUCUUGCCAUCUUGCCUAGACUAGUUUGAAACUCCUGGGCUCAAGCGAUCCUCCUGCCUUGGCUUCCUAAAGUGCUGGGAUUCCUGGUGUGGGCCACCAUGCCUAGCCUAGAAUAGGAUUCUACAAGUAUAUAUUUUUAUUUGCAACUAAGAGGGUCCUUUACAGUACAACAUCAUAGGCUAAAACAAUUUCUACAAAAUUCAGUGAAACCAUCUUUUGUGAUGCCAGUUGGCACCCACUGGUAUUGUAAGAUACCAUUUAGUAAUCUACCAGAUGACUAUCAAGCAAUACCUUGCUCCAGACAUAGUUCAUCAUUGUCCUAAAUAUAAUUUAACAUCCUGUAAAUAUACCUACUGUCCUGGGUUUCCACUGAGCUACUGACAAGAAAGCUGGAUUUAGUAAAGAGAAACAAAUGGACUUGAAAGUUCUUUUGUCCUUAUUCAUUCCUGAACAUGCUAGAGGUGAGACCACAAGAGUUUGUGUAGCAGUAAAAGAUCAUUCUCACAAUACAGGUUCAGAAUUUAGAAGACACCCUGCAGAAUGUAAACCUGCAAAUGUCCCGGAUGAAAUCUGACCUACGAGUGACUCAGCAGGAAAAGGAGGCUUUAAAACAAGAAGUGAUGUCUUUACAUAAGCAACUUCAGAAUGCUGGUGGCAAGAGCUGGGCCCCAGAAAUAGCUGCUCAUCCAUCAGGGCUCCAUAACCAGCAGAAAAGGCUGUCCUGGGACAAGUUGGAUCAUCUGAUGAAUGAGGAACAGCAGCUGCUUUGGCAAGA